CCUACGGGUGGCAGCAGUGAGGAAUAUUGGUCAAUGGGCGAGAGCCUGAACCAGCCAAGUCGCGUGAGGGAGUACUGCCCUAUGGGUUGUAAACCUCUUUUGUCGGGGAGCAAAAGCCGGACGUGUCCGGCUGUGAGAGUACCCGAAGAAAAAGCAUCGGCUAACUCCGUGCCAGCAGCCGCGGUAAUACGGAGGAUGCGAGCGUUAUCCGGAUUUAUUGGGUUUAAAGGGUGCGCAGGCGGAUUUUUAAGUCAGCGGUCAAAUCGUGGGGCUCAACCCCAUCCAGCCGUUGAAACUGGCGUUCUUGAGUGGGCGAGAAGUACGGGAAUGCGUGGUGUAGCGGUGAAAUGCAUAGAUAUCACGCAGAACCCCGAUUGCGAAGGCAGCGUACCGGCGCCCGACUGACGCUGAAGCACGAAAGCGUGGGUAUCGAACAGGAUUAGAUACCCGUGUAGUC
rnacentral:rRNA from 1 species